UUUUACUUGAUAGCCUUUAAAGAGUCUGCACACCCCCAAGCAUACCUCAGAAAGUCAUCAUUCUUUAAUGACAGCAAAAAAAUUGAGAUUGUGUAUAAAAACAUAUGCUGUCUAUUUAUUGGAAAACUGAAUUUUCAAAAUCUUGAUGUUUCAUGGUGUCAGAACAAUGUGGAUAAGAAUGAAUUCAUUUGUGCAAAUAAAUUUUACAUAUGCUUUCAAAAAAAUAAUAUGCCAGCAGCUUAAUAUGUAUUGAUAUUCUUUGUUUUGUUUCUUGAUAUUUGGUGCCAAAUGAACAUUUUACAUCUGUCUUAAUAAUUAUGACGGAACUUUGCAUUUUUUCUAUUUUGCAUCAGGAACUUCUGAAGCAUUUCUACAUGCAGUUGCUACAGAGAAUCAACUCAAACGCUCAAAUGAUUCAUUGCUUGUGUUUUCAUUAAUAUAUUUAGUGCUAAAUGUCCUACUGAUGCGGUCAGCUGGUGCAGUUGGCUUAAUUUUAGCAAAUUCUAUAAAUAUGGUUCUGAGGAUUAUUUAUUCAGCUGUAUUCAUAAAGCAUUAUUUCCAGGGCACUUCUUCAUUUUCAUUUCGGAGCUGCUUGCCUUCAGGUUCGGCGAUUCUGCUAAUUUCAGGUCUCAUUACCCUCAUUUCGGAGAAAGUAUUUCUGGACCAUGAGAAUUUCUGGCCAACCUUUUUAAUUCACUUUUCAUUUGGGUUUACGUGCUUCUGCAUCUCAUCUGUUGUAAUAUACCGGUAUGAAAGGCGAUUCAUCAACAAAAUUAUCCGGUUCCGUGACCAUGCCGACUGAAGAACUGAAAACUGGUAAAACUUGUUUGAAUAGUCAGUUUUUUUUGUUUGUUUGUUUUUUGAUAUAAUUGAAAGCAUAGUUAGUAACUUAUGAUAGAGGCAGAAACAGAUGGGAGUCAAUAUUGUGUGUUUAAUUUAGGGUGUUAAAAGUCAAUUCAGAAUAUAAUAAUCGGAGAGAGAGAGAGAACAAGAAAAUCCUUUUUGAUUAGAGAUGAUGACUUUCUUCACCACGUGAACUUACAGCUGUUAACAUUUAGCGUUCACAUUUCUUUAAUUCCUUAGAGAUUAUGAUUUUAUGAAUUGAAAUCUUGACAUCCA